rnacentral:ncRNA from 1 species
UAGACGGAUUCUAAACUUUCCGAUUACCAAGCGGGCUAUGAAAAAACUUCCACCACCAUGCUCCCUCUGUUGGCAGGUGCCAGCUUGAUUUACGGAGCGG